GGCUGAUCCAAAGGUAGUGAGUUAUCUCAAUGGAUGGUUCACAAUCAGUUACAGAUUGAACUUCCUUCCUCCUCACUACUGCACUUGACUAGAGAUAG
ensembl:misc_RNA Y_RNA Y RNA